rnacentral:rRNA from 1 species
UAGGGAAUCUUCCACAAUGGGCGCAAGCCUGAUGGAGCGACACCGCGUGAGUGAAGAAGGGUUUCGGCUCGUAAAGCUCUGUUGUUGAAGAAGAACGUGCGUGAGAGUAACUGUUCAUGCAGUGACGGUAUUCAACCAGAAAGUCACGGCUAACUACGUGCCAGCAGCCGCGGUAAUACGUAGGUGGCAAGCGUUAUCCGGAUUUAUUGGGCGUAAAGCGAGCGCAGGCGGUUUUCUAAGUCUGAUGUGAAAGCCUUCGGCUUAACCGAAGAAGGGCAUCGGAAACUGGAUGACUUGAGUGCAGAAGAGGGCAGUGGAACUCCAUGUGUAGCGGUGGAAUGCGUAGAUAUAUGGAAGAACACCAGUGGCGAAGGCGGCUGCCUAGUCUGCAACUGACGCUGAGGCUCGAAAGCAUGGGUGGCGAACAGG